AUUACCUCGAGGAAGAGUUGGGGAACCCGAAAACGGCUCAAGGUAACAAAGGGAUAUGGUCUCAUCAACAGGAAUGCCACCAAGGAAGAUGGAUUUGUAGAGCAGACGGCCCCAAAGAACAGCCCCAGGGAAGCACCUUCGCAGGGCAGGACUUGAAGUUGCGGGCGCAGCGGGGGCGGGGCAGCCAAUGCUGCAGGUGCAGUUCCAGGGCAAAGCAGGAAACGUGCAGCCGACCGGAAGCGUCACAGACGCCGGCCACCUUGCGGGGGAUACGGGCGCCAUUACCUGCACCAGUUACCGGCAGAAAGGUGAGAGGAGCGAGAGUGGGAAAGUGAGGGACUGGAGGGGGCUAACGCAGGCCAGACCCGACAGCGCCGCCCUACCCCCCGAGCGCCAGCCCAGCGCUCCGGCCCUCCAGUGCGGGGAGAAGUGAUGCGUGGUGCGGACAGCAGGGCGCAGCCGAGCCAGGUGGAAUCGGCCCCGAGGCCCUAGACCACGGUUCUGCAGGGGCCCUGCUGACCUAAGAGCCUAGGGACAAAGGCAGUGAACGCGACAAGCAAUGUCAAGGCGACGAGACCAAGGAGAGGAGGUAGCACGGACUUGAACAGCCACCUCGUCAUCAGUACCAACACCUCUUCACUUACCGCACCCGAGGCCCAGAACACCCCAAACCGCAAGAAGGCAAAAAGACAAAAGCAGCCUCCACCGGAGAAAAUUCCUCGGCUCCAGAUGCUAAGCAAGGACUUUCACAACUGGAUCUUCCAACUUUCACAUCAGACAAGCCAGUCAAACACCAGACCAUGAAUAAUUUCCUUAUGAUUUUUGAAGUUGCCCCCAAGAUGCCCUCUGCUGAGACCCCUGCUGUCCUCAUCGUUCAUCACUGCCCAUUCCAUGUACUUCGGCUCUCCUGAGCACCCCCUUCUGUUCCCUGCUUCGGUGCCCCACACAUUCUUCCUGCCUGAACUAUGCUUCUCCUAUACAUUCUCCAGGUGAUCACCUUUUCAACUCUUAAAGUGCAUCCUCUUCUAUAAAGUCUUUCCCAAAUGCA